rnacentral:rRNA from 1 species
UACGUAGGGGGCUAGCGUUGUCCGGAAUCAUUGGGCGUAAAGAGCGUGUAGGCGGUCCGGUAAGUCCGCUGUGAAAGUCGGGGGCUCAACCCUCGAAUGCCGGUGGAUACUGUCGGGCUAGAGUGCGGAAGAGGCGAGUGGAAUUCCUGGUGUAGCGGUGAAAUGCGCAGAUAUCAGGAAGAACACCCGUGGCGAAGGCGGCUCUCUGGGGCGGUACUGACGCUGAGACGCGAAAGCGUGGGGAGCGAACAGG